CCGGCGCACGGGUGAGUAACACGUAUCCAACCUGCCGUCUACUCUUGGACAGCCUUCUGAAAGGAAGAUUAAUACAAGAUGGCAUCAUGAGUCCGCAUGUUUACAUGAUUAAAGGUAUUCCGGUAGACGAUGGGGAUGCGUUCCAUUAGAUAGUAGGCGGGGUAACGGCCCACCUAGUCUUCGAUGGAUAGGGGUUCUGAGAGGAAGGUCCCCCACAUUGGAACUGAGACACGGUCCAA
rnacentral:rRNA from 1 species